rnacentral:rRNA from 1 species
CCUACGGGUGGCAGCAGUGGGGAAUAUUGCACAAUGGCGGAAACCCUGAUGCAGCGACGCCGCGUGAGUGAAGAAGUAUUUCGGUAUUGAAAGCUCUAUCAGCAGGGAAGCAAAAAGACGGUACCUGACUAAGAAGCCCCUGCUAACUACGGGCCAACAGGCGCGGUAAUACGUAGGGGGCAAGAGUUAUCCGGGUUUACGGGGGGUAAAGGGAGCGUAGACGGCGCGGCAAGUCUGAAGUGGAAGGCAGGGGCUUAAACCCUGAACUGAUUUGGAAACUGCCAUGCUAGAGUGCUGGAGAGGUAAGCGGAAUGCGUAGUGUAGCGGUGAAAUGCGUAGAUAUUAGGAGGAACACCAGUGGCGAAGGCGGCUUACUGGACAGUAACUGACGUUGAGGCUCGAAAGCGUGGGGAGCAAACAGGAUUAGAUACCCUGGUAGUC